rnacentral:rRNA from 1 species
AGUGAACGCUGGCGGUAGGCCUAACAUAUGCAAGUCGAACGGCAGCACAGUAAGAGCUUGCUCUUACGGGUGGCGAGUGGCGGACGGGUGAGGAAUACAUCGGAAUCUACUUUUUCGUGGGGGAUAACGUAGGGAAACUUACGCUAAUACCGCUUACGACCUACGGGUGAAAGCAGGGGAUCUUCGGACCUUGCGCGAUUGAAUGAGCCGAUGUCGGAUUAGCUAGUUGGCGGGGUAAAGGCCCACCAAGGCGACGAUCCGUAGCUGGUCUGAGAGGAUGAUCAGCCACACUGGAACUGAGACACGGUCCAGACUCCUACGGGAGGCAGCAGUGGGGAAUAUUGGACAAUGGGCGCAAGCCUGAUCCAGCCAUACCGCGUGGGUGAAGAAGGCCUUCGGGUUGUAAAGCCCUUUUGUUGGGAAAGAAAAGCAGCAGGUUAAUACCCCGCUGUUCUGACGGUACCCAAAGAAUAAGCACCGGCUAACUUCGUG